AGGCAGCCCUUUUGUCCAUUACAAUGGCAAUGGAGGUGUUGCGUUGCUCGGAGAUUAAAUUUCUGCUCUUCAGAUUAGCUGAGUGGGAGGCUCUGCUUCCCUCGUUGAAGCUUGUCUAGUAGUCUUAAGAACAUC
rnacentral:snoRNA from 3 species